rnacentral:lncRNA from 1 species
UAAAUCUCAAAACUUCAAUCCAAUCUUAAACCUAAACUCAAAAUUUAAUCAUUUAAAAAAUCUAAUCUUAAAUUUAAAUUCUAAACCUCAAACACCGAAUCUUAAAUCUACACUAUGUAUCUAAUACCCUAUACCCCAAACUUAAUAUCUACAUACAAAAUCAUAAAUCCAAUCUUUACAAACUUACAAUAUAAACUUUAAAAUUAAAUUCCAAUUAUAUUCUAAAACUCAAAUCACAUACUUAAUCGUAAAUAUUAACCCUAACCACUAAACCGCUCGUCACCACCACCACCACCACCACCGUUCGUUACCACCACCACCAU